GCGGAUGGCCGGACGAUCGCCGGGAAGGCGGGGAACCGUCUUUCGGGAGGAAAGUCCGGACUCCACAAGGCAACGGUGCCGGGUAACGCCCGGCCGGGGCAACCCGAGGGAAAGCGCCACAGAGAACAAACCGCCUGGGUAAAUCGCUCGCGCGAUGAACCCCGGGUCAGGCUGAAACGGUGGGGUAAGAGCCCACCGCGCGACCGGCAACGGAAGCGGCACGGCAAGCCCCACCGGGAGCAACGCCAAAUAGGGACCUCACGCCCGGUGACGGGCAGGGCUGUCUUGGCCCGGAGGUCCGGGUUGGCGGCUCGAGGCGUCUGGCGACAGGCGCCCUAGAGGAAUGAUCGUCGGCCCCGCAAGGGGUUACAGAAUCCGGCUUACAGGCCAUCCGCGCGU
rnacentral:RNase_P_RNA from 1 species